GGGCCCGCACAAGCGGUGGAGUAUGUGGUUUAAUUCGAUGCAACGCGAAGAACCUUACCAGGGUUUGACAUCCUGCGAAUCUCUUGGAAACAGGAGAGUGCCUUUGGGAACUGUAAGACAGGUGCUGCAUGGCUGUCGUCAGCUCGUGUUGUGAAAUGUUGGGUUAAGUCCCGCAAACGAGCGCAACCCUUAUCCUUGUUUGCCAGCGAGUAAUGUCGGGAACUCCAGGGAGACUGCCGGUGAUAAACCGGAGGAAGGUGUGGAUGACGUCAAGUCAUCAUGCCCCUUACAUCCUGGGCUACACACGUACUACAAUGCUACGGACAAAGGGCAGCAAGUUCGCGAGGACAAG
rnacentral:rRNA from 1 species